rnacentral:rRNA from 1 species
UACGUAGGGUGCGAGCGUUAAUCGGAAUUACUGGGCGUAAAGCGUGCGCAGGCGGCGUGCCAAGUCAGAUGUGAAAGCCCCGGGCUCAACCCGGGAACGGCGUUUGAAACUGGCAGGCUAGAGUUUGGCAGAGGGGGGUGGAAUUCCACGUGUAGCAGUGAAAUGCGUAGAGAUGUGGAGGAACACCGAUGGCGAAGGCAGCGCCCUGGGCCGAUACUGACGCUCAGGCACGAAAGCGUGGGGAGCAAACAGG